AAUUCGCUAUUGAACGAUACUCAAAUUUUGUCUAUAUUCUUCAUAAAAUUUUAACUAUUUAGAAAAGAUCACUAAAGAAUAUGCCAUUAUAUAGAAAAAAGUAUGCUCUUUCGUUUGUAAUAGUCAGAUUUUCGAAAAUCAGCUUAGAAAUAUCACUUUUUUCCAAAUUAAAAUUGAAAAAACCAUGAAAAUUCGCUAUUGUACGA